CCUACGGGCGUCAGCAGUGGGGAAUAUUGCACAAUGGGGGAAACCCUGAUGCAGCGACGCCGCGUGAGUGAAGAAGUAUCUCGGUACGUAAAGCUCUAUCAGCAGGGAAGAAAAUGACGGUACCUGACUAAGAAGCCCCGGCUAACUACGUGCCAGCAGCCGCGGUAAUACGGAGGGGGCAAGCGUUAUCCGGAUUUACUGGGUGUAAAGGGAGCGUAGACGGAAGCACAAGUCUGGAGUGAAAUCCCGGGACUUAACCCCGGAACUGCUUUGGAAACUGUGCGGCUGGAGUGCAGGAGGGGUAAGCAGAAUUCCUAGUGUAGCGGUGAAAUGCGUAGAUAUUAGGAGGAACAACGGUGGCGAAGGCGGCUUACUGGACUGUAACUGACGUUGAGGUUCGAAAGCGUGGGUAGCAAACAGGAUUAGAUACCCCGGUAGUC
rnacentral:rRNA from 1 species